GACGAACGCUGGCGGCGUGCUUAACACAUGCAAGUCGAGCGGUAAGGCCCUUUCGGGGGUACACGAGCGGCGAACGGGUGAGUAACACGUGGGUGACCUGCCCUCAGCUCUGGGAUAAGCCUGGGAAACCGGGUCUAAUACCGGAUAUGACUCCAUGACUCAUGUUGUGGGGUGGAAAGCCUUGUGCGGCUAGGGAUGGGCCCGCGGCCUAUCAGCUUGUUGGUGGGGUAAUUGCCACCAAGGCGACGACGGGUAGCCGGCCUGAGAGGGCGACCGGCCACACUGGGACUGAGACACGGCCCAGACUCCUACGGGAGGCAGCAGUGGGGAAUAUUGGACAAUGGGCGCAAGCCUGAUCCAGCGAUGCCGCGUGUGUGAAGAAGG
rnacentral:rRNA from 1 species